rnacentral:rRNA from 1 species
GACGAACGCUGGCGGCGUGCUUAACACAUGCAAGUCGAACGGAAAGGCCCUGCUUUCGUGGGGUGCUCGAGUGGCGAACGGGUGCGUAACACGUGAGUAACCUGCCCUUGACUGUGGGAUAACUUCAGGAAACUGGGGCUAAUACCGGAUAGGAGCUCCUGCUGCAUGGUGGGGGUUGGAAAGUUUCGGCGGUUGGGGAUGGACUCGCGGCUUAUCAGCUUGUUGGUGGGGUAGUGGCAUACCAAGGCUUUGACGGGUAGCCGGCCUGGGUGGGUGACCGGCCACAUUGGGCCUGCGAUAGGCCCCAGAGUCCUACGGUGGGCAGCGGUGGGGAAUCUUGCACAGUGGGCGGAAGCCUGAGGCGGCGACGCCGCGUGCGGAAUGACGGCCUUCGGGUUGUAAACCGCUUUCGCCUGUGACUAAGCGUGAGUGACGGUAAUGGGUAAAGAAGCACCGGCUAACUACGUG